rnacentral:miRNA from 1 species
CACCCGCCUCAGCCUCCCAAAGUGCUGGGAUUACAGGCGUGAGCCACUGCGCCCGGCCAGAACUGACUUCUUCCUUCUCUGUACUCUC